AAUAGAUACCCUGGUAGUCCACGCCGUAAACGAUGAGUGCUAAGUGUUAGAGGGUUUCCGCCCUUUAGUGCUGCAGCAAACGCAUUAAGCACUCCGCCUGGGGAGUACGGUCGCAAGACUGAAACUCAAAGGAAUUGACGGGGGCCCGCACAAGCGGUGGAGCAUGUGGUUUAAUUCGAAGCAACGCGAAGAACCUUACCAGGUCUUGACAUCCUCUGACAACCCUAGAGAUAGGGCUUCCCCUUCGGGGGCAGAGUGACAGGUGGUGCAUGGUUGUCGUCAGCUCGUGUCGUGAGAUGUUGGGUUAAGUCCCGCAACGAGCGCAACCCUUGAUCUUAGUUGCCAGCAUUCAGUUGGGCACUCUAAGGUGACUGCCGGUGACAAACCGGAGGAAGGUGGGGAUGACGUCAAAUCAUCAUGCCCCUUAUGACCUGGGCUACACACGUGCUACAAUGGGCAGAACAAAGGGCAGCGAAGCCGCGAGGCUAAGCCAAUCCCACAAAUCUGUUCUCAGUUCGGAUCGC
rnacentral:rRNA from 1 species